AAUUCUUGUUGGAGAAGCAGGGCACGUGCAAACUCACCCAUUUUCUAAACCCUUUGCACGUGCUCCCCUUCUCCAACAUGGCUUC